UGGGGAAUUUUGGACAAUGGGCGAAAGCCUGAUCCAGCAAUGCCGCGUGUGUGAAGAAGGCCUUCGGGUUGUAAAGCACUUUUGUCCGGAAAGAAAUCCUUGGCUCUAAUACAGUCGGGGGAUGACGGUACCGGAAGAAUAAGCACCGGCUAACUACGUGCCAGCAGCCGCGGUAAUACGUAGGGUGCAAGCGUUAAUCGGAAUUACUGGGCGUAAAGCGUGCGCAGGCGGUUUGCUAAGACCGAUGUGAAAUCCCCGGGCUCAACCUGGGAACUGCAUUGGUGACUGGCAGGCUAGAGUAUGGCAGAGGGGGGUAGAAUUCCACGUGUAGCAGUGAAAUGCGUAGAGAUGUGGAGGAAUACCGAUGGCGAAGGCAGCCCCCUGGGCCAAUAUCGCGUCAUGCACGAAAGCGUGGGGAGCAAACAGGAUUAGAUACCCUGGUAGCCCACGCCCUAAACGAUGUCAACUAGUUGUUGGGGAUUCAUUUCCUUAGUAACGUAGCUAACGCGUGAAGUUGACCGCCUGGGGGAGUACGGUCGCAAGAUUAAAACUCAAAUGAAUUGACGGGGUCAUA
rnacentral:rRNA from 1 species